AGCUUGUCUGCCGCCAUCUGGGGUACAGUGCUGGAAGCGGGGAUACAGGGACAAAUAAGACACAGAUCCUGUUCCUAAAGAGAGUCUUUUCUAAGGCACCAACUACUUCCUUCAAGCAGCAGCCAGAGAUCUUUGCUUAAUGGCUGAGAAACACAGAGGAGAGACCCAGAGAGAAGGAGAAGGCCGCAUGAAGAUGGAGCAGAGACUGGAGUUAUUCAGCCAAGUCAAGGAAUGCCUGGAGCACCAGAAGCCGGAAGAGGCAAGGAAGGAUCCUCCCUUAGAGCAUUUGGAAGAGUGUGGCCCUGCCAACACCUUGACUUCAAACUUCUGGCCUCCAUAACUAUGAAAUAAAUUCUUGUUGUUUUAAGCCACC
rnacentral:lncRNA from 10 species